rnacentral:rRNA from 1 species
GGACGAAAGUCUGACGGAGCAACGCCGCGUGAGUGAAGAAGGUUUUCGGAUCGUAAAACUCUGUCGUUUGGGACGAACGUGCUUUGGGUAAAUAAUCUAAAGUAAUGACGGUACCAAAGGAGGAAGCCACGGCUAACUACGUGCCAGCAGCCGCGGUAAUACGUAGGUGGCAAGCGUUGUCCGGAAUUAUUGGGCGUAAAGGGCGUGUAGGUGGAUUCUUAAGUCGUGUGUCUAAGUGCGGGGCUCAACCCCGUAUGGGCGCAGGAAACUGGGGAUCUUGAGUGCAGGAGAGGAAAGUGGAAUUCCCAGUGUAGCGGUGAAAUGCGUAGAUAUUGGGAGGAACACCAGUGGCGAAGGCGACUUUCUGGACUGUGUCUGACACUGAGGCGCGAAAGCUAGGGGAGCGAACGGGAUUAGAUACCCCGGUAGUCCUAGCCGUAAACGAUGGGUACUAGGUGUAGGAGGUAUCGACCCCUCCUGUGCCGGAGUUAACGCAAUAAGUACCCCGCCUGGGGAGUACGGCCGCAAGGUUGAAACU